rfam:Bombyx mori DNA, contig: Bm_scaf15_contig11322, strain: p50T/Dazao, build 2, whole genome shotgun sequence.
UUAUAUCAAAUUUGUAUGGAGUUGGAACGUUUGCCUAAGUUUGCCGCUAGGGGCGCUGUUCCAACUGCAUACCAAUUUGUGUUA